CGACGGGUAGGGCUGGGUCGUUUGCCGCGACCUGUCACCGGAAUGGCAAUACCGGAGCCAGUAACCGAAAUGGAGAGUGAACCGGGAAAUCGGUGGGUCCAGUCGCAGGACGUUGACGUGCGGUCUCUGGAGUCUGUCACAGCCGCAACAGCAGUCGUAGGUCUGCUGUGAGUGGCAUAAACCGUCGAACCGGGCCAGGCCCUGGCGGGAGCAGUCCUAAGAUGGGGUGGUGGAGCCCCAGAGAGUGCCGCAUUGAGAAAUGCACUGAUUCGCCUGCUGACGAACGACACACGAUAUCAAGGGGCCGUCG
rnacentral:SRP_RNA from 1 species